AGUGUGUGUGUCUGUAAGGGGUGCGUUGAGUGUGUGUAAGAAAUGCAUUGUGUUUCUGUGUGUGUGUAAGAGAAGCAGUGUGUGUUUGCAUGUGUGUGUAAGGGAUGCAUUGUGUGUUUCUGUGUAUAUGUGCAAAGGAUGCAUUGUCUUUAUGUGUAAGGGUUGCAUUGUGUGUUUCUGUGUAUAUGUGCAAAGGAUGCAUUGUCUUUAUGUGUAAGAGUUGCAUUGUGUGUUUCUCUGUGUGUAAGGGAAGCAUGUUGUGUUUCUGUGUGUAUAGGGAUGCAUUGUGUGUGUGUGUGUGCGCGUGGUG